rnacentral:lncRNA from 1 species
AUUGGAUCCAUAGGGCAAGUGCAUAAAGAUUUAAAAAAAAAAAAAAGUGGGAAGAGACAGUGACACCAGGAGAGGUCCAAGGACAAAACCUUGGGGAAACGUGACACGUAGAAGUUAGGCAGAGAAAUAAAUCAGAAAGGGAAAGUGAAUAGUGACCAGAGGGAAAGGAGACCUGGAGAGAGCUGGUGGGGGGGGGGGNUCCCAGAGAUGUCAGGAAACAAUGUUUAGGAAGCAGGAGGGGAGUGCUCAAUUGUGUCAGAGUCUAAGACGAUUUCUAUCAUACCCACCAAGAGUUUCAUAGUGAAGUGAACCUGACUUUGCCUCCGAGCUUUGGGUAGGAGUAGCAACUGACACAACCUCUCCAAGAUUCCGAUCCAACUUCCUUUAAUUGGAGAAGAGCACUUAUCUCUUUCUCACAGGGCUAAAAUGCUUCACCUGGUGCUGACUGCAGAAAGCCCUCACCAAUGAUACCACCACCACUAUCAGGGAAAAUGAGAGAUGUGAUACACAAUUGUUCAAAAUACAGAGAUGCCUACUCUGAAAAAAUAAAGUCAUAAGAUUCUGCAGCAUUUAAUACUUUAAAGACAGAAGAUUGUGUGACUUCAAAAACAGUGAAAUUAUAGAUACCUGGAAAUGAGCAGCCUUUGUGUUGGAAGACAGGUAACUGGAAAUCAGAAGCUUUACGUACGGCUGGGUGAGGGACUUUAAAAUGAACAAAAACGAUGUUCAAACAAAGGGAUCUUGAGGACGCCUGUAUAAACAACAUCUUUACUUUAUGGAGAGGCCGAAUGUCUUAUGCAGAUCCCAUGAUCUGAUCCUGCAAGACUUGACAUUUUCCAGUCUCACUUCCAAUACAACUUCACUGGGAACAGUCUCCACGCCUGAUGUGGUGGCAGCCAUUCUCACCACAGGGGAAGUGAUCAUUGAGGAUGACCAAUUUGGAGAGUGACUCCAGGGUGUCCACUUCCCCUCACUGAGAACCAUGAAGCAAUC